AGUGAACGCUGGCGGCAGGCCUAACACAUGCAAGUCGAACGGCAGCACAAGAGAGCUUGCUCUCUGGGUGGCGAGUGGCGGACGGGUGAGGAAUGCAUCGGAAUCUGCCCAUUUGUGGGGGAUAACCUCGGGAAACCGGGACUAAUACUGCAUACGACCUACGGGUGAAAGCAGGGGAUCUUCGGACCUUGCGCAGAUGGAUGAGCCGAUGCCGGAUUAGCUAGUUGGAGGGGUAAAGGCCCACCAAGGCGACGAUCCGUAGCUGGUCUGAGAGGAUGAUCAGCCACACUGGGACUGAGACACGGCCCAGACUCCUACGGGAGGCAGCAGUGGGGAAUAUUGGACAAUGGGCGCAAGCCUGAACCAGCCAUGCCGCGUGUGUGAAGAAGGCCUUCGGGUUGUAAAGCACUUUUGUUGGGAAAGAAAAGCAGCCGGUUAAUACCCGGUUGUCAUGACGGUACCCAAAGAAUAAGCACCGGCUAACUUCGUG
rnacentral:rRNA from 1 species